rnacentral:rRNA from 1 species
GACGAACCGUGCGAACGUUGUUCGGAAUCACUGGGCUUAAAGGGCGCGUAGGCGGGCCGGAAGGUCCGCGGUGAAAUCCCCCCGCUCAACGGGGGAACGGCCGCGGAUACCGCCGGCCUCGAGGGGGGUAGGGGCGAGCGGAACGCUGGGUGGAGCGGUGAAAUGCGUUGAUAUCCAGCGGAACUCCGGUGGCGAAGGCGGCUCGCUGGACCCCCACUGACGCUGAGGCGCGAAAGCCAGGGGAGCGAACGGG